UGGAAGGCGUCUUCUAUGUACAUAGUCCACCCUGACUCACAACUGCUGUAUUCCUCCUCCUCAGAGCCUCCAUGGUUCCUAGGAGACUCCAUGGCUAUGAGCAAGACAAAGAAGAAAACAAAAGUUAACGUUUCAGUAUCAGGAAAAGCCGGAGCCUAUAAGAAGCCUCAUAUAAUUGAAGAGCAGGAGUAAGUUUCCACAUGGCAACCCUAGCACCAUUGUUUUCACUCAAUUGAAGCACUAGCAGACAAAGCCAUUUGCAGAUAUAUAUCAAGGAAGGAAGGCUAUCUUAAAUAUAAAAGAUCAGCUUUUGAGGUGGAAAUCAGAAGAGACCCACCUCAACAAACAAGAUGGAAUAAAAGAGGCAUUUACUUAAUUAGGUUAAGAGCUGUUCCUCUUCCUCAUUCCUUUAAUACUCUUCUUCCUCCUCCAAUCCUCUCACUCUCUUUAAAAUUGUUGCAGCCUUUUCUUCAUCUCUCAUUGUAUUGAAAGGUGAAACCCAACUGGAUUUUUGUUUGUCAUUUUUUUUUUCCUGUAAAGAUAAGGACAAAACAAAAAGAAGUAUAACAACUGUCACACACAAAAAAGAAGGCAGAAUUUCCUUGGAAUUAAUAGAAUAAAACGUAUAAUGUUUGAG